rnacentral:rRNA from 1 species
AGCCUGAACGCUGGCGGCGUGGCUAAGACAUGCAAGUCGUACGGGCCGUAGCAAUACGGUCAGUGGCGGACGGGUGAGUAAUGAAUCGCUAACGUGCCCCAUAGUUCGGGAUAGCCGUCCGAAAGGGCGGGUAAUACCGACAUGACAUCGCCGGGAGGCAUCUCCUGGCGCUCAAAGGGGAAACCGCUGUGGGAGCGGGGCU